rnacentral:rRNA from 1 species
GUACACAAAAAUGCACAUGCUGUGAGCUCGAUGAGUAGGGCGGGACACGUGGUAUCCUGUCUGAAUAUGGGGGGACCAUCCUCCAAGGCUAAAUACUCCUGACUGACCGAUAGUGAACCAGUACCGUGAGGGAAAGGCGAAAAGAACCCCGGCGAGGGGAGUGAAAAAGAACCUGAAACCGUGUACGUACAAGCAGUGGGAGCACGCUUAGGCGUGUGACUGCGUACCUUUUGUAUAAUGGGUCAGCGACUUAUAUUCUGUAGCAAGGUUAACCGAAUAGGGGAGCCGAAGGGAAACCGAGUCUUAACUGGGCGUUAAGUUGCAGGGUAUAGACCCGAAACCCGGUGAUCUAGCCAUGGGCAGGUUGAAGGUUGGGUAACACUAACUGGAGGACCGAACCGACUAAUGUUGAAAAAUUAGCGGAUGACUUGUGGCUGGGGGUGAAAGGCCAAUCAAACCGGGAGAUAGCUGGUUCUCCCCGAAAGCUAUUUAGGUAGCGCCUCGUGAAUUCAUCUCCGGGGGUAGAGCACUGUUUCGGCAAGGGGGUCAUCCCGACUUACCAACCCGAUGCAAACUGCGAAUACCGGAGAAUGUUAUCACGGGAGACACACGGCGGGUGCUAACGUCCGUCGUGAAGAGGGAAACAACCCAGACCGCCAGCUAAGGUCCCAAAGUCAUGGUUAAGUGGGAAACGAUGUGGGAAGGCCCAGACAGCCAGGAUGUUGGCUUAGAAGCAGCCAUCAUUUAAAGAAAGCGUAAUAGCUCACUGGUCGAGUCGGCCUGCGCGGAAGAUGUAACGGGGCUAAACCAUGCACCGAAGCUGCGGCAGCGACACUGUGUGUUGUUGGGUAGGGGAGCGUUCUGUAAGCCUGCGAAGGUGUGCUGUGAGGCAUGCUGGAGGUAUCAGAAGUGCGAAUGCUGACAUAAGUAACGAUAAAGCGGGUGAAAAGCCCGCUCGCCGGAAGACCAAGGGUUCCUGUCCAACGUUAAUCGGGGCAGGGUGAGUCGACCCCUAAGGCGAGGCCGAAAGGCGUAGUCGAUGGGAAACAGGUUAAUAUUCCUGUACUUGGUGUUACUGCGAAGGGGGGACGGAGAAGGCUAUGUUGGCCGGGCGACGGUUGUCCCGGUUUAAGCGUGUAGGCUGGUUUUCCAGGCAAAUCCGGAAAAUCAAGGCUGAGGCGUGAUGACGAGGCACUACGGUGCUGAAGCAACAAAUGCCCUGCUUCCAGGAAAAGCCUCUAAGCAUCAGGUAACAUCAAAUCGUACCCCAAACCGACACAGGUGGUCAGGUAGAGAAUACCAAGGCGCUUGAGAGAACUCGGGUGAAGGAACUAGGCAAAAUGGUGCCGUAACUUCGGGAGAAGGCAC